rnacentral:rRNA from 1 species
AGAGUUUGAUCCUGGCUCAGGACGAACGCUGGCGGCGCGCCUAACACAUGCAAGUCGAACGAGCGAGAGAGAGCUUGCUUUCUCGAGCGAGUGGCGAACGGGUGAGUAACGCGUGAGGAACCUGCCUCAAAGAGGGGGACAACAGUUGGAAACGACUGCUAAUACCGCAUAAGCCCACGACCCGGCAUCGGGUAGAGGGAAAAGGAGCAAUCCGCUUUGAGAUGGCCUCGCGUCCGAUUAGCUAGUUGGUGAGGUAACGGCCCACCAAGGCGACGAUCGGUAGCCGGACUGAGAGGUUGAACGGCCACAUUGGGACUGAGACACGGCCCAGACUCCUACGGGAGGCAGCAGUGGGGAAUAUUGCACAAUGGGGGAAACCCUGAUGCAGCGACGCCGCGUGGAGGAAGAAGGUUUUCGGAUUGUAAACUCCUGUCGUUAGGGACGAUAAUGACGGUACCUAACAAGAAAGCACCGGCUAACUACGUGCCAGCAGCCGCGGUAAAACGUAGGGUGCAAGCGUUGUCCGGAAUUACUGGGUGUAAAGGGAGCGCAGGCGGACCGGCAAGUUGGAAGUGAAAACUAUGGGCUCAACCCAUAAAUUGCUUUCAAAACUGCUGGCCUUGAGUAGUGCAGAGGUAGGUGGAAUUCCCGGUGUAGCGGUGGAAUGCGUAGAUAUCGGGAGGAACACCAGUGGCGAAGGCGACCUACUGGGCACCAACUGACGCUGAGGCUCGAAAGCAUGGGUAGCAAACAGGAUUAGAUACCCUGGUAGUCCAUGCCGUAAACGAUGAUUACUAGGUGUUGGAGGAUUGACCCCUUCAGUGCCGCAGUUAACACAAUAAGUAAUCCACCUGGGGAGUACGACCGCAAGGUUGAAACUCAAAGGAAUUGACGGGGGCCCGCACAAGCAGUGGAGUAU